CUCCUGGCCGAGAUAAAGCAGCCGUCAUUCCCCGUUUCUCCUGAUGUAUAUGUACAUAGACUCGUAUUUACAGCGGUGUGGGUACUCCUCGCCCUGUGUGUGUGCGUGUACAUGUGCGCACAAAGGCUGGAUGUCAACCACGGGUAAGGGGGCACAGGGGAACGCAGCUGGGAUGAGCGGCUCUUGGGUGCCUCCCGUGUGUAACAGCGUACCCACGGACCCGGCCAUCCAGCAGCAUCCCUCCAAGAGCCGGCUCCGUGCGUGUGGAUGUGCCCGUCCCAAGCGCAGCCUCCCGGCCGUGGGAACUCACGCGUGUGCGUGGGAAUCCCAGCAACCUUGCCACCGUCCAGCAAGGGAGACUAGCAGGAUUUGUGUGGGGCCAAUAACGAAGAGAGGGCAGUAUCUGCAGGCAGGUCCCUGCAGCAGCAUCUCGGAACUAUGUCGGGAGAAGGAGCGAGGGGGAUGUAUUUCUUUAGGUCACGGCAGUGCAGCGCUCCCGCUCCCAUCGCACGGAUGCAUUUCCCCUGACCAGGACACCUGUUUUCUGCUGGCAAAGCUCAAGAAGCCUUUGCAGCUUCAGCCCCCGGACAAGGUGGAAGAGAUAAUGCAAGGGAACCUGAGGAGGGUGAAGAAGGAGGUGCAAAGAGGAGGUGCUCACACCACUUUCCAGGGGACUGGUUUGGUAGACUUCUUCCAUUUGGGUAGAAUGAGGGAACAAUGAAGCUUCCCUUUUAGAGAAAGGUGCUCAGAGAGGAGAGGGAUGAAGGUACCACACAGUCAAGUUGGAGACAACACUUCAGCUUCUCAUCUACCCUGAGGAUCUCUGCUCCCAACGCUCGCCUGUUCCCUGAGCAACAUUCUGCCUGCAGCACAUCACCACAUGGACUGUGCUUUAAAUGUGCUUUAAGUCAGAAGAUAAAUGGAAUGAGUGCUUACAACUGAGGUAGAUAAAAGAAAUAACUACAGAUUAAGGCAUUUUGUGGUGUUACAGUGCUAAAUAGAGACACAUUAUUGAAGAAGAAAUAGCUCCACUAUCCAUUUAUAUCUGUGCAGGCUUCAAAUGGGCAGAUUUGGUACAUAAUUUGUAGAAAGAACUAUGUUAAUUCCAAUAUAAAAUGUACAAAAUAUAAAUGUAAUAUAAAAUGCAAUAUAAAAUGUAA